AUGGAGCAGCAGCUGGGAGCGCCGGGGCUCACGCGGACAGGGCAGCGUGCCCCGGUGCUGGAGCUCCUGCCAGCAGUGACCAGGGGGUCACACCGGGCUGGACAAUCGGGGGGCCGGGGGCGAGCCCCGGGGUGCAGGAGGAGGAUCAGCCGUGCCCGGGUGAAAGGGAAAGAGAGAACCUGGACAAGACGUGCUGGGGCCUCUCUGCUGGGCUUGUUUUCCUCAGUUCUUGUUGGGGAUGUAUCAGGAGAGAAACCCAGGGGAAAAGCUUUCUCUGACCCUCUGCACUUGGGUUGAGGUGGGGAGAUGGCAGCCCCUGGCAUCUCCUAAGGCAGGACAGUCCCCAGACUGGCAUCUCCCCAAAUCACCCAGCACAAAGACUUCUCCUUCCCCUCUCCCCUCACUCCCUGUCUCUCAUGCUUGGCUGCACCAGGGCAGUUUCCCC
rnacentral:lncRNA from 1 species